rnacentral:rRNA from 1 species
UGUGAGCUCGAUGAGUAGGGCGGGACACGUGGUAUCCUGUCUGAAUAUGGGGGGACCAUCCUCCAAGGCUAAAUACUCCUGACUGACCGAUAGUGAACCAGUACCGUGAGGGAAAGGCGAAAAGAACCCCGGCGAGGGGAGUGAAAAAGAACCUGAAACCGUGUACGUACAAGCAGUGGGAGCACAGAGCAAUCUGUGUGACUGCGUACCUUUUGUAUAAUGGGUCAGCGACUUAUAUUCUGUAGCAAGGUUAACCGAAUAGGGGAGCCGAAGGGAAACCGAGUCUUAACUGGGCGUUAAGUUGCAGGGUAUAGACCCGAAACCCGGUGAUCUAGCCAUGGGCAGGUUGAAGGUUGGGUAACACUAACUGGAGGACCGAACCGACUAAUGUUGAAAAAUUAGCGGAUGACUUGUGGCUGGGGGUGAAAGGCCAAUCAAACCGGGAGAUAGCUGGUUCUCCCCGAAAGCUAUUUAGGUAGCGCCUCGUGAAUUCAUCUCCGGGGGUAGAGCACUGUUUCGGCAAGGGGGUCAUCCCGACUUACCAACCCGAUGCAAACUGCGAAUACCGGAGAAUGUUAUCACGGGAGACACACGGCGGGUGCUAACGUCCGUCGUGAAGAGGGAAACAACCCAGACCGCCAGCUAAGGUCCCAAAGUCAUGGUUAAGUGGGAAACGAUGUGGGAAGGCCCAGACAGCCAGGAUGUUGGCUUAGAAGCAGCCAUCAUUUAAAGAAAGCGUAAUAGCUCACUGGUCGAGUCGGCCUGCGCGGAAGAUGUAACGGGGCUAAACCAUGCACCGAAGCUGCGGCAGCGACACUGUGUGUUGUUGGGUAGGGGAGCGUUCUGUAAGCCUGUGAAGGUGUGCUGUGAGGCAUGCUGGAGGUAUCAGAAGUGCGAAUGCUGACAUAAGUAACGAUAAAGCGGGUGAAAAGCCCGCUCGCCGGAAGACCAAGGGUUCCUGUCCAACGUUAAUCGGGGCAGGGUGAGUCGACCCCUAAGGCGAGGCCGAAAGGCGUAGUCGAUGGGAAACAGGUUAAUAUUCCUGUACUUGGUGUUACUGCGAAGGGGGGACGGAGAAGGCUAUGUUGGCCGGGCGACGGUUGUCCCGGUUUAAGCGUGUAGGCUGGUUUUCCAGGCAAAUCCGGAAAAUCAAGGCUGAGGCGUGAUGACGAGGCACUACGGUGCUGAAGCAACAAAUGCCCUGCUUCCAGGAAAAGCCUCUAAGCAUCAGGUAACAUCAAAUCGUACCCCAAACCGACACAGGUGGUCAGGUAGAGAAUACCAAGGCGCUUGAGAGAACUCGGGUGAAGGAACUAGGCAAAAUGGUGCCGUAACUUCGGGAGAAGGCACGCUGAUAUGUAGGUGAAGUCCCUCGCGGAUGGAGCUGAAAUCAGUCGAAGAUACCAGCUGGCUGCAACUGUUUAUUAAAAACACAGCACUGUGCAAACACGAAAGUGGACGUAUACGGUGUGACGCCUGCCCGGUGCCGGAAGGUUAAUUGAUGGGGUCAGCGCAAGCGAAGCUCUUGAUCGAAGCCCCGGUAAACGGCGGCCGUAACUAUAACGGUCCUAAGGUAGCGAAAUUCCUUGUCGGGUAAGUUCCGACCUGCACGAAUGGCGUAAUGAUGGCCAGGCUGUCUCCACCCGAGACUCAGUGAAAUUGAACUCGCUGUGAAGAUGCAGUGUACCCGCGGCAAGACGGAAAGACCCCGUGAACCUUUACUAUAGCUUGACACUGAACAUUGAGCCUUGAUGUGUAGGAUAGGUGGGAGGCUUUGAAGUGUGGACGCCAGUCUGCAUGGAGCCGACCUUGAAAUACCACCCUUUAAUGUUUGAUGUUCUAACGUGGACCCGUGAUCCGGGUUGCGGACAGUGUCUGGUGGGUAGUUUGACUGGGGCGGUCUCCUCCUAAAGAGUAACGGAGGAGCACGAAGGUUGGCUAAUCCUGGUCGGACAUCAGGAGGUUAGUGCAAUGGCAUAAGCCAGCUUGACUGCGAGCGUGACGGCGCGAGCAGGUGCGAAAGCAGGUCAUAGUGAUCCGGUGGUUCUGAAUGGAAGGGCCAUCGCUCAACGGAUAAAAGGUACUCCGGGGAUAACAGGCUGAUACCGCCCAAGAGUUCAUAUCGACGGCGGUGUUUGGCACCUCGAUGUCGGCUCAUCACAUCCUGGGGCUGAAGUAGGUCCCAAGGGUAUGGCUGUUCGCCAUUUAAAGUGGUACGCGAGCUGGGUUUAGAACGUCGUGAGACAGUUCGGUCCCUAUCUGCCGUGGGCGCUGGAGAACUGAGGGGGGCUGCUCCUAGUACGAGAGGACCGGAGUGGACGCAUCACUGGUGUUCGGGUUGUCAUGCCAAUGGCACUGCCCGGUAGCUAAAUGCGGAAGAGAUAAGUGCUGAAAGCAUCUAAGCACGAAACUUGCCCCGAGAUGAGUUCU